rnacentral:rRNA from 1 species
GAUGAACGCUGGCGGCGUGCCUAAUACAUGCCAGUCGAGCGAACAGACGAGGAGCUUGCUCCUCUGACGUUAGCGGCGGACGGGUGAGUAACACGUGGAUAACCUACCUAUAAGACUGGGAUAACUUCGGGAAACCGGAGCUAAUACCGGAUAAUAUAUUGAACCGCAUGGUUCAUUAGUGAAAGACGGUUUUGCUGUCACUUUUAGUGGAUUCCGCGCCGCAUUAGCUAGUUGGUAAGGUAACGGCUUACCAAGGCGACGAUGCGUAGCCGACCUGAGAGGGUGAUCGGCCACACUGGAACUGAGACACGGUCCAGACUCCUACGGGAGGCAGCAGUAGGGAAUCUUCCGCAAUGGGCGAAAGCCUGACGGAGCAACGCCGCGUGAGUGAUGAAGGUCUUCGGAUCGUAAAACUCUGUUAUUAGGGAAGAACAAAUGUGUAAGUAACUAUGCACGUCUUGACGGUACCUAAUCAGAAAGCCACGGCUAACUACGUG